UUUGAGAUGGCCUCUCGCCCUAUUCAGUGUAACAGCUGUGGUAGUGGGUUUGGUCGCUCGCAUUUAAAUUGGAAGGGUAAUGGUGGACCGCACUUCUCCCUUAGUAGGACGUUGCGACCUGUCAAAUAAUAUCCUAAGUAUUUGGCUAAUUUGUCUGUUUUUAGGCAGUACUGAAAGGUAUUUCCUUUAACAGUUUUAGCCGUUUAGAUACUGGAUAUAAUUGACAGUAACGAAUCAUGGUGUUGAGCCACUUACUUUGUAAGUGUCCUUUAUGGCUGUUUGCAAGUGGGUUGGUUAAUUAGUUUUAGUCGGAUUUCGGUCCGUCUAACUAUUCCGCCUACUGUUGGUAAACUGUUCCUUGGACAGUGCUUAUAACACCGGUCGGCAGCGAUUCAGGUUCAGGCUCUUAUCCGACCCGUCUUGAAACACGGACCAAGGAGUUUAGCGUGUACGCAAGUCAUUGGGUGUAUAAAACCCAAAGGC
rnacentral:rRNA from 1 species